CACGGAGUUAGCCGAUCCUUAUUCUUCCAGUACAUUCAGCUAGAUACACGUAUCUAGGUUUAUUCCUGGGCAAAAGCAGUUUACAACCCAUAGGGCAGUCAUCCUGCACGCGGCAUGGCUGGUUCAGGCUUCCGCCCAUUGACCAAUAUUCCUUACUGCUGCCUCCCGUAGGAGUCUGGUCCGUGUCUCAGUACCAGUGUGGGGGGAUUCUCCUCUCAGAGCCCCUAGACAUCGUCGCCUUGGUAAGCCGUUACCCUACCAACUAGCUAAUGUCACGCGAGCCCAUCUCUAUCCUAUAAAUAUUUAAUAGCUAACCGAUGCCGGUCAGAUAUGUUAUGCGGUGUUAAUCUCUCUUUCGAGAGGCUAUCCCCCUGAUAGAGGUAGGUUGCUCACGCGUUACGCACCCGUGCGCCACUCUCACCGUCUUCGAGCAAGCUCUCCGACGGAUCCCGUCCGACUUGCAUGUAUUAGGCCUGCCGCUAGCGUUC
rnacentral:rRNA from 1 species